ensembl:lncRNA
GGGGUGUUCAAGAUGCCGGUCUCUGGCAUAAAAUACCAGAUUCUGUCUGGGCAAAUGCCGUUUUUUUACAGCGUUUUUUGUUUUUUUAUGCUGGGUCCUACUUAAUCUGAACAAGACCCCAAAAAAGGUCCGUGAUCACUGUCGUAUGGGCUCAAAUUGUGGUCAUAAAUAUUUUGUAUUUGUAAAUCAAAUGCGUACUUGUGAACUGAGUUUGUAACCUCGUAAACCAAAAUAUCUGAAAAUGUUUUGUUUGUGCAUCUAUAGAUGACUUAGUGCUUGUGCUAAUUUGUGUGACUGUAAAAAAUAUAUUUACACAACUUACAAUUUUGUUUUGUUAAGUUCUGGUUACAGAUACAAAACAAAAAACUAUGUAAAAUUCUGCACUAAAGUUCCCUGGCUGUGUGUCAGUUUUAUCUUACAAGUAUGAAUUUUGACCCAAUUUUUCCUCCUUUCAGCUGAUUGGUCAAUGUCAUGUCAAUCACAAAUUCAACAGUCCAAUCAGGGAACAGGUGGGUUUGGCUGUUGGAGGGGUGCUUUGCUGAGCUUGUAACUUGAAGUCAUCUUUUGAUACACUGCCAAGGUGAGUAAGGUCACAUCCGAAUUGAUCGAUUGACCAGGUUUCCAAACAGUGGCGCAUCAAACAGAGUUUUUUAAGACAACUCUUGAGCAAUUAUUUUCUCCCAUCUUCUGUUUGUGUUUGACACUCAUUCUUAUUUUCUACCUUGUUUGUAUUUUUUUUUUUUCUUUUCUGCCCGAAUUCUCUGAAGAACCUAAAGAGGCUUGGCUUUACACAAACCUACAAGCUUCAGAAGGUGUAUGACCCUGUUAGGCUGCAGAGGGACUUGGUGGUGCCAUCCAAACAGGGUGGUGGCUGUUACAGUCUUGUCAGCAUCAUCAGUCAUUAUGGAGGCACAGAAUCAGGUAAAACAACUGACUUGUUACAAGCAGAAAAUGAUUUAACAGAAUUUGCUACUUUUCAGUGAAGGACUCGCACACAAAAGCUUUUGAUGUUCUGAGAAGCACUAAGUCAAAAUCACUGUUUGCUUGAAUCAGUC